ensembl:lncRNA SLC8A1-AS1 SLC8A1 antisense RNA 1
AUGAAAGUCUAUAUCCUACUUUGACUUCACUCUGGGGUUGCUUGCUGGCUGAAAGGAAGGAGAAUCAAAUUUAGAAAUAUCUGAAAGGAAAUCCAGAUAUAGGCUAUUAAUAGAUGAGAGGUGAAGCUAGGCUAUAUCAGCUGCUGAGUUCUGCACCAAUUCAAAUGAGAGACCCUAGAAAGGAGCCUCCAGGGAACUCCAGCUACUGUAUACAUCAUCUGUGGUUUUCAAGCUUCUUGAGCCUUGUAAUUAUCCAGUUGAUAUUUAUCUUGUUCCAGUCACCUUUAGAAAGCUGUUUGGCAAGGGCAGUGACUGGAAGCUGGGAGAGAGGGUCAACAGCUG